ensembl:snRNA U6 U6 spliceosomal RNA
GCUGGCUUCAGCAUGUUCUAAAAUUAUAAUAAUACUGACGAUUAGCAUGGCCCCUGUGCAAGGAUGACACGCAAACUCUUGAAAUGUUCCCUAUUUUU